UUUAUCUUUUCAUGGUCAUGAAAAACGUAAUGUGCAUUGGUUUCGUACAAGGCACUGCCAUGGCAUGGCGAGGCACCCGCAAAGCACCGCUUGCUUCCAUUCUGAGGUGGACUAGCGCUUGGAUAGUCACGCGGAUCUCCAAACCAGCGCCCUCCCACGGCGCAGCUCCACCGUGUUGACCGGCGCUUCCUACACCAUGGAUCAAAUAAACAGCCGCCUCAGCAUAGCCAUCCACAAUGCUCUCCUGCCUCCGUUCCCCCUCAGAUUCUUAUAUAUCCACGAGGGGGACAUUUAUUAACAGAGAGUGUUACUCUUGGUGGCCGUAUUGAUCUCCCGUCCCAUGCCACCAAUGCGACCGAUGGCUCCACUUUGACUUUGUCAACUCCACUGACUAUCUCGACUACGUCAUAUUGCAACCCCGAUGCCCACUGGUUAUGCAGUAACAUGCUUUUGAACACCAGGUUGCAACUCCAGCUUCGCCGAUGAACUUGCUCGCUGCUCUAGAAGGU